rnacentral:rRNA from 1 species
GAUGAACGCUGGCGGCGUGCCUAAUACAUGCAAGUCGAGCGAACAGACGAGGAGCUUGCUCCUCUGACGUUAGCGGCGGACGGGUGAGUAACACGUGGAUAACCUACCUAUAAGACUGGGAUAACUUCGGGAAACCGGAGCUAAUACCGGAUAAUAUAUUGAACCGCAUGGUUCAAUAGUGAAAGACGGUUUUGCUGUCACUUAUAGAUGGAUCCGCGCCGCAUUAGCUAGUUGGUAAGGUAACGGCUUACCAAGGCAACGAUGCGUAGCCGACCUGAGAGGGUGAUCGGCCACACUGGAACUGAGACACGGUCCAGACUCCGACGGGAGGCAGCAGUAGGGAAUCUUCCGCAAUGGGCGAAAGCCUGACGGAGCAACGCCGCGUGAGUGAUGAAGGGCUUCGGAUCGUAAAACUCUGUUAUGAGGGAAGAACAAAUGUGUAAGUAACUAUGCACGUCUUGACGGUACCUAAUCAGAAAGCCACGGCUAACUACGU